rnacentral:rRNA from 1 species
GACGAACGCUGGCGGCGUGCUUAACACAUGCAAGUCGAACGGAAAGGCCCCGCUUUUGUGGGGUGCUCGAGUGGCGAACGGGUGAGUAACACGUGAGUAACCUGCCCUUGACUUUGGGAUAACUUCAGGAAACUGGGGCUAAUACCGGAUAGGAGCUCCUGCUGCAUGGUGGGGGUUGGAAAGUUUCGGCGGUUGGGGAUGGACUCGCGGCUUAUCAGCUUGUUGGUGGGGUAGUGGCUUACCAAGGCUUUGACGGGUAGCCGGCCUGAGGGGGUGACCGGCCACAUUGGGACUGAGAUACGGCCCAGACUCCUACGGGAGGCAGCAGUGGGGAAUAUUGCACAAUGGGCGGAAGCCUGAUGCAGCAACGCCGCGUGCGGGAUGACGGCCUUCGGGUUGUAAACCGCUUUCGCCUGUGACGAAGCGUGAGUGACGGUAAUGGGUAAAGAAGCACCGGCUAACUACGUG